rnacentral:rRNA from 1 species
UACAGAGGGUGCGAGCGUUGUCCGGAAUCACUGGGCGUAAAGGGCGCGUAGGCGGCUUGGUAAGUAGGGGGUGAAAUCUUGCGGCUCAACUGCAAGGCUGCCUCCUAAACUGUCAGGCUUGAGCACAGUAGAGGCAGGUGGAAUUUCCGGUGUAGCGGUGAAAUGCGUAGAUAUCGGAAGGAACAUCAGUGGCGAAAGCGACUUCCUGGACCAGUACCGACGUCAGGCACGAAAGCGUGGGGAGCAAACAGG